rnacentral:rRNA from 1 species
AUUGAACGCUGGCGGCAGGCUUAACACAUGCAAGUCGAGCAGAGAUGAGGUGCUUGCACCUUAUCUUAGCGGCGGACGGGUGAGUAAUGCUUAGGAAUCUGCCUAUUAGUGGGGGACAACAUUCCGAAAGGAAUGCUAAUACCGCAUACGUCCUACGGGAGAAAGCAGGGGAUCUUCGGACCUUGCGCUAAUAGAUGAGCCUAAGUCGGAUUAGCUAGUUGGUGGGGUAAAGGCCUACCAAGGCGACGAUCUGUAGCGGGUCUGAGAGGAUGAUCCGCCACACUGGGACUGAGACACGGCCCAGACUCCUACGGGAGGCAGCAGUGGGGAAUAUUGGACAAUGGGGGGAACCCUGAUCCAGCCAUGCCGCGUGUGUGAAGAAGGCCUUAUGGUUGUAAAGCACUUUAAGCGAGGAGGAGGCUACUGAGACUAAUACUCUUGGAUAGUGGACGUUACUCGCAGAGUAAGCACCGGCUAACUCUGUGCCAGCCGCCGCAGUAACAC